GACGAACGCUGGCGGCGUGCUUAACACAUGCAAGUCGAACGGAAAGGCCCUGCUUUUGUGGGGUGCUCGAGUGGCGAACGGGUGAGUAACACGUGAGUAACCUGCCCUUGACUUUGGGAUAACUUCAGGAAACUGGGGCUAAUACCGGAUAGGAGCUCCUGCUGCAUGGUGGGGGUUGGAAAGUUUCGGCGGUUGGGGAUGGACUCGCGGCGUAUCAGCUUGUUGGUGGGGUAGUGGCUUACCAAGGCUUUGACGGGUAGCCGGCCUGAGAGGGUGACCGGACAAAUUGGGACUGAGAUGAGACCCAGACUACAACGGGAGGCAGCAGAGGAGAAUAGUGCACAAUGGGCGGAAGCAUGAUGCAGCCACGCCGCGUGGGGGAUGACGGCAUUCGGGUAGUAAACCGCUUCCGCCUGUGACGAAGCGUGAGUGACGGUAAUGGGUAAAGAAGCACCGGCUAACUACGUG
rnacentral:rRNA from 1 species